rnacentral:rRNA from 1 species
UACAGAGGCCCCAAGCGUUACUGAGAAUCACUGGGUUUAAAGGGUGCGUAGGUGGUCCGUUAAGUCAGUUGUGAAAGCCCUGGGCUCAACCCAGGAACUGCUUCUGAUACUGGCGGACUUGAGGCUAGUAUGGGUCACUGGAACUGACGGUGGAGCGGUGAAAUGCGUAGAUAUCGUCAGGAACGCCAAUGGUGAAGACAGGUGACUGGGCUAGAUCUGACACUGAGGCACGAAAGCGUGGGGAGCGAACGGG